rnacentral:rRNA from 1 species
AUGCAAGUCGAGCGAGAAAGUCUCUUCGGAGAUAAGUACAGCGGCGGACGGGUGAGUAACGCGUGGGAAUUUACCCUUUAGUGAAGAAUACCUCUGAGAAAUCAGGGUUAAUACUGCAUACGUCCCUACGGGGAGAAAGGUGGCCUCUUUGCUGCCGCUAAAGGAUAAGCUUGCGUACUAUUAGCUAGUUGGUGAGGUAAAGGCUCACCAAGGCGAUGAUGGUUAGCCGGCCUGAGAGGGUGUACGGCCACACUGGAACUUAGACACGGUCCAGACUCCUACGGGAGGCAGCAGUGAGGAAUAUUGCGCAAUGGGCGAAAGCCUGACGCAGCGACGCCGCGUGGAGGAUGAAGGUCUUCGGAUUGUAAACUCCUGUUAAGUGGGAAGAAAGACCUAUUUCUAAUACAGAUAGGGGAUGACGGUACCAUUAGAGAAAGCACCGGCUAACUUCGUU